rnacentral:rRNA from 1 species
CAGUCGCCGCGGGAAUACGUAGGGUGCAAGCGUUAAUCGGAAUUACUGGGCGUAAAGCGUGCGCAGGCGGUUUGUUAAGACAGAUGUGAAAUCCCCGGGCUUAACCUGGGAACUGCAUUUGUGACUGGCAAGCUAGAGUCUGGCAGAGGGGGGUGGAAUUCCGCGUGUAGCAGUGAAAUGCGUAGAUAUGCGGAGGAACACCGAUGGCGUAGGCAGCCCCCUGGGCCAACACUGACGCUCAUGCACGAAAGCGUGGGGAGCAAACAGGAUUAGAGACCCGGGUAGUCCCUGUCUCUUAUAA